UCGGACGUCAUCCGCAACGUAAAGAUCGUGGUGCACAGUGUGUACUUGCCAUUUCCACAUAUUAAUCCUGUGGCUGCGGCUUACGAAGUAUCCUAGGAGGCUCAGAAGUCUCAGGAGGAGAUCAGACGAUGGAAGGAAGGAUUUCGAUCUUCGAUCUUCGUUACCAUUCCAAAGUUAAUUAUUUAGCUUUCGAUUAAGUGAGUGUUUGUUUGCUCAGACUCAGACUAAAAUGCGACUCUAUGCCUUCCCGGUAGAAAACGACCUCUGUGGCGGGAUUUACCAGGUCAAAUUCAACGGGACCCUAGCCUGCAGUCGUCAACCGGUCCGCUUCCUUGAAUGAGAGUAGGUCUUCCCGAUCCACGAAUACUGUCUGUUGUCCUUUACUUGUUUAGUGGCAUCUGGAAUUGUCUGUUUCGGUAUUCACUCUUGUAAAGGGCCGCGAACUAAGCUAAGCGCUUGGCUUGUCUUCUUAUAGGGUCCCAACCGACCAGUACAUUCAAUAUCGAAAUCCGUUACUGUUACAGAAGAGAAUUAAG